UACAGAGGGUGCGAGCGUUAAUCGGAAUUACUGGGCGUAAAGGGCGCGUAGGUGGUUACUUAAGUCAGAUGUGAAAUCCCUGGGCUUAACCUAGGAAUUGCAUUUGAAACUGAGUAGCUAGAGUAUGGUAGAGGGUGGUGGAAUUUCCUGUGUAGCGGUGAAAUGCGUAGAUAUAGGAAGGAACACCAGUGGCGAAGGCGACCACCUGGACUGAUACUGACACUGAGGUGCGAAAGCGUGGGGAGCAAACAGGAUUAGAAACCCUAGUAGU
rnacentral:rRNA from 1 species